AGGGUUUGAUUCUGGCUCAGGAUGAACGCUGGCGGCGUGCCUAAUACAUGCAAGUCGAACGCUUCACAUAUGUGAAGAGUGGCGAACGGGUGAGUAAUACAUAAGUAACCUGGCCUUUACAGGGGGAUAACUAUUGGAAACGAUAGCUAAGACCGCAUAGGUGUGCAGAUCGCAUGAAGUGCACAUGAAAUAUGCUACGGCAUAGGUAGAGGAUGGACUUAUGGCGCAUUAGCUAGUUGGAGGGGUAACGGCCCACCAAGGCGACGAUGCGUAGCCGACCUGAGAGGGUGACCGGCCACACUGGGACUGAGACACGGCCCAG
rnacentral:rRNA from 1 species